GCACAACACAGAGAAAAGGCUCGUGAGCUCAGAGAUUUUGGGAGAGAGUUUCGGCGAAAAUCUUUUGAGUUCUUUUAGGGAUUUUGGGUGUGUUUAAGGUGACGAUGUUUGAUCCAAUCGAUCUCGAGAGUUAUCACAAUGCUUUCAUCCAGAAAUGGUAUGACAGAACCAUUGCCGAGAGCUUUGGGGGUUACUGAUUACCAUAUGAACCACGGAGUGCUCUUUGAUCGUAUUUGCUUUGUUGACAAAGUGAUGAGCCGCCUGAAAAUCACCCGCCCGCAAUGCUCAGCUAUGGCUGCUUGAGAGACUGAGGGCGGGUGAUUUUCAGGCGGCUCAUCACUUUGUCAACAAAGCAGAUACG